CUCACACCAUUUAGUUUUUCAUCAGAAAGAAAACGCCUCUUCAAACUCUUCUUCUUCUUCUUCUUCCAUUUCUUCGACUUGACAUGAUAAUCUUGGAGGGGAGUCUUUGAUUUAGGUGAGAAACUCUCGGAAUGGUUCCAUGUGUUUCUUUUACACUCAAGCCUCUGUUAGAAGCUGCAAGGCUUAUAAGAUGAUUGUUCCGAGUAUGAUGGUCGUUAUGUAAGUUGUUACUAAUGCUAUCGAGAUUAUUCCGUAUGAGAUAGAAGCUUCAGUGAAGAGAUAAAUCUAUGGCUGUAGUAGUGCAUCGGUUUCUCCUUACCCCUCUGGGUUCACCUAAUUUUCAUUCAGUAUUGCAAACCGUUUCAGUAUUCCAAAGUCAGAUAGGGUCUCAGGGUAAACCUAAUUAGUAUUGCAAACCAUUUCUCUUCUUUAGUGGUCUUCAGUAUUCCAAAGUCAAAUACAAUCUCAGAGUAAGAAAACCAAAAGGAAGAUUAUCCUUCUGUUUCAUUUUCUUAUCAUAUAAUGUUAGAGAAUAACCAUCGUGAGAUUCAAAGUACCCCUUCCAAGAGGGAGUAUGGUACGCAAAUAAGGAUUUCAAGUCGGAGAAACAUCCAGAUAUUACCAAAUUUGAACAUGGGAUUCAAGUAAUUUUUGGUUUUUAGACGCAAAAGUUUCGAGUAAGGAAGUUACUGUUUUUGGUGGUUUCAGUUUCGAGCUUACGAGGAAUGGAACUGGUUUGAGUGGAAAGUCGAAUGAGAUAAAGCUAUAUGCCGUUCAUUUUAUGGAGGAACCUUGAAGGGACACUGCUAAUUUUAUCCAGACUGAGUAAUUCGAAUUGAAGGUACAGGUUUCUGAUUUUGCAAAUACAUGAUAAGGAAAUUAUGACGACAGAACGAUAUCGGGAGAAAAUAUAGUUUCUCUAUGACUGGAGCGGUUUCUAGGAGGUAAAUGGAACCAUCGAUCAUCAGGGCAGGAUGUGGUGGGGGUUAUGGUAGAACAUAACACUGGACUUUGGAACACACAAGAGGCCAAAUAGUUGAAUUAAGGAACUUUCAUAACAUCCUAACUCCAACCUCACUUUCCACACCUUUCCAUUAAGGACCAUCCAUCUGUUUACUACAGGUUGAUUUUGACACCUCUCUGAUGACCGUGGAGGGCUGCAACUCUAUGCCCAUGACUGCAUAGCAAAGGGGGUAGUCCAGUAUAGCUUUGGUGCAGAUACAUUUGCAUACCCUGCACCGAUUUCAUUAAGAAUAGACACAUUUUGAUAUCCGUAUUGAGACUGGCAAAAUUCCAAGGACCAGCAUGUCUUUGGUGCAAGGAAACCAUUGAGUUAUGGAUGUUUGCUUGAUAAUAAAUGUUGGUGAUGGAGGGAGUAGAAAGUACAACACCUCAAAUUAUAUUUCACUUCUUGACCAUUCUUGGAUAUUAUUUUCCUAUUAGGAUUUUUCUUUCUGAUUUUAUGUUCAUGUUAGGAUAUCAAUUUUGUUGUGCAAAUAUGAUCUCAGUGGAUUUUGCAGCAUUGGUUGGAGUAAAUUAUUGAGCUUA